AUGGCUUACAAAUUGCCUCAUGUGAAACUCAGUGAAAGAGUUGUCACCAGUGCGGAAAAAGGAUUAAAUCAGAUGACACUCUCCUCCAGGAAUGACUGCCUUGGUGCUCUCAGAGCUUCGGACAGCUUUUACUGCAUCCCACAGAGUCUGGUAGUUGAUCUCUUCAUUUUCAUUGAUCUCCAAGUCUUAGGUAUCUGUACUCUCCUGUGGCUUGGUGCACUUCCAAGGAAAUACUUACUAUAUUACAUUAAAUUUUCAGCUUUCACAGCAGGAAGAGUAGUCCAUGACGUGAAUACCGCUCUCCAAGAGGUGCUGAAGACCGCCCUCAUUCACGAUGGCCUAGCACACGGCAUUCGUGAAGCUGCCAAAGCCUUAGACAAGCGCCAAGCCCAUCUUUGUGUGCUUGCAUCCAACUGUAAUGAGCCUGUGUAUGUCAAGUUGGUAGAGGCCCUCUGUGCUGAACACCAGAUCAACCUAAUUAAGGUUAAUGACAACAAGAAGCUUGGAGAAUGGGUAGGCCUCUGUAAAACUGACAGAGAGGGCAAACCUUGUAAGGUCGUGGGUUGCAGUUGUGUAGUAGUUGUGUAGGACUAUGGCAAAGAAUCUCAGGCCAAAGAUGUCAUCGAGGAAUACUUCAAAUGCAAGAAAUAAAUAAAUAAA